AAAGCUUCAGUUGGUUAGAGCGUGGUGCUGACAACACCAAGGUCAUGGGUUCGAUCCCCAUU
rnacentral:tRNA from 1 species